rnacentral:rRNA from 1 species
CAGCAGCCGCGGGAAUACAGAGGGUGCGAGCGUUAAUCGGAUUUACUGGGCGUAAAGCGUGCGUAGGCGGCUUUUUAAGUCGGAUGUGAAAUCCCUGAGCUUAACUUAGGAAUUGCAUUCGAUACUGGGAAGCUAGAGUAUGGGAGAGGAUGGUAGAAUUCCAGGUGUAGCGGUGAAAUGCGUAGAGAUCUGGAGGAAUACCGAUGGCGAAGGCAGCCAUCUGGCCUAAUACUGACGCUGAGGUACGAAAGCAUGGGGAGCAAACAGGAUUAGAUACCCCCGUAGUCCCUGUCUCUUAUAA